rnacentral:sRNA from 1 species
AUGUACCUCGCGUAAACCGCGGUUCCUGUGCGCUAUCCACGCCCACCUGACGACUGCUCGCCAGGUUUUGGUUAGCC